CAAACAUCAGGUCCAGGAUUUGAAAUCUCUUGCUAUGAGAUUGGUACAAGUUCCUCUCAGAUCUGGAGUUGAUCUGAGGUCGUUUGAGGCAUGGGUGAGAUCUCCAUCAACAGAUCUACAGGAAAGGCUGCAGCAGGAUAGAUCUGCAAGGUCUGGUUCUAUCUACCUUCUUCCCUAUCUAGAACAUCCCGAUUCAAGAUC
rnacentral:lncRNA from 1 species